AUACUUACCUUGUGCCGCGGCCUCGUUGAUCCCCGAGGACGAGACCCCAGGGCAAAGCGGGGGCAUUGCACAGCGCUCGUGUUGACCCCUGCCACUACCCCUAACUGGUGGCAGAUGGGGCAUUCAAAUUGC
rnacentral:snRNA from 1 species